GGAAAAUUGCACGUAGCCUUCCAUGUUCAGGGCUCAUGUCUGACAACAUACUUGAGUCCAAAAAAAACAUAGCCUAUGGCUAAAAAAGUUCUCUUCUAGUAGUAAAAGAAAAUGUCUUCUAUCUCAAUUAUAUUAUUAACUGCUGCAGUGGUUCUGUCAUGGAUCUCACAAUUCAUGUAAUUGCAAUUGUGGAUGUCCCAAUAUAACAGGUGAAUUGUAGGGUUUUCAUUCUGAUGUUAUCAGUCACUUCUCUUCUCCUCUCCCUCUCUCUCUCUUGUGGGACUUGUUUUCACAAUGGGGACAGAAACGGGACACUUUAUAUUUUUAUCUAUUUUUUGGGGGAGGGGGUGGUGGUUUUGGAAGUUGGAAUGGUUUCUAUAAUUUCAUAUGGUGAAUAAAUAUUCCUCCAUAAUUCCAGAUAACAUGGGAACUUUUUUAGAUUCAUAGCUUCUAAUGGCUCAAAACUAUGGCUAUUGUAAUAUAUUGUUUUCUCUGGAGAUUUAGAUUAAAUUCGAUAUUUCAUGAUUGCACUUCUAAUGAUUCCACUUGGAUUUUGCCUCUGUUUCUUUGUUGUCCUACCACAAAAAUGAAGUGGUUGGCAGAUGGAGUUCUGGAUAUAAAACUUGUAUUCUUGUUACAACAGCUUUUUGAAUCAUUCCUAGUUUGAACUAGUUUUAUCUGUCAUGAGUUUUGCAGUUUACUGAAUCUGUUCUUCAAUGGUGAUCAGGUUCAAGUGAAGUGUUCG
rnacentral:misc_RNA from 1 species